rnacentral:lncRNA from 1 species
CUUAGGAUGCGUGUCCCAAGGGAAGGGCGUAUAGAAUGUUCAAGAGAAGAGAAAAGGGGAGGAAGAGAGGGCAUGGGGAGAGCCUUUGGGUGUGAGGGACUGCUGGUUUUGAUGCUCUAGGGACCUUAGGGGAGAUUCUUUUAAAUAGGCAUAAGGAUUGAAUCCUAUUCAAUCUCAUAAUACAAGUCCUACUUGCAUUAGGAUUCCUAUUAAGUUAUCCAACAUACAUUAGGAAGCCCAUUAGGUGCCAACUAUUGGAGCCCUUAUACCCAUAAUUAGACACUCUUUUUUACACCCA